rnacentral:rRNA from 1 species
AUUGAACGCUGGCGGCAGGCCUAACACAUGCAAGUCGAACGAGUGGCGGACGGGUGAGUAAUGUCUGGGAAACUGCCCGAUGGAGGGGGAUGACUACUGACAACGGUAGCUAAUACCGCAUACCAUCGGAUGUGCCCAUAUGGGAUUAGCUAGUCGGUGGGGUAACGGCUCACCUAGGCGACGAUCCCUAGCUGGUCUGAGAGGAUGACCAGCCACACUGGAACUGAGACACGGGCCAGACUCCUACGGGAGGAAGCAGUGGGGAAUAUUGCACAAUGGGCGCAAGCCUGAUGCAGCCAUGCCGCGUGGAUGAAGAAGGCUUUCGGGUUGUAAAGUACUUUCAGAGAGGAGGCGUUACUCGCAGAAGAAGCACCGGCUAACUCCGUGCCAGCAGCCGCGGUAAUUC